UGGAUAUCAGGGCAGUGUCUUUGCACUGAGGGAUGGCACUCCUGGAGGUUCACUGCUGGUUCCAGAGCACAGAGGUGUGACUCCUGGAGGGUGGCCAGCCCUGCGGGGGGUCAGAAGAUGAUGGGGACAGUGCGGGGCGAGGCAGAGGCUCUCAGGUCCCCUACCGGACUUCAGGACGAAUCACGUGAACCCGCCAGCAUUUCACAGUUUUGACCUACAGAGCCAGCAAUGUCACAUCGCCGACCCCAAACACCUCAAGGGUGUCACCACCAGGCUGGGCUUGGGCUGCAUCCCGUGGUGCCCAGGAGUGCCAUGAGCAAGGAGGGGCACCCCACAGGGAAGAGGGGGCCUCUUGCCCGGCGGCUGGGCUGACCUCCAACCUCUGACCCCUGACGGGCUGGAGCACCCCACAUGAACAAGGCACCUGUGCAGCAGAGACCUGAAAAAGAAGCAAAAGAAACCCUCGGGGAGAAGCAGUGCCCCUCCCGUGCGGCUCCUGCCCCUGGCAGGCCUUCUUUCUCCAAAUAGACCAAACAUGCCCUCCUGUCCAUCAUCCUCCCCGUCAUGGCCCUGGCUGCACCUCCGGAUGGAUCCAGCCCAAGCCCCGUCACACAGCAGUGGCCCGGUCCCCCUUGGAAUGGCGAGCCUGACCCUCCACCGCCAACCUCCUCUGACCUUCCGAGGCCCCUCUGACGCUCACACUGCUGAACUUCACAAGAACUUGGAGCAUCCCUUUCAAAUGGAAGGGCCGGAUCCUGCAGAUUAGGAGACUGAGUCCCAAAGAGGGGCAGUCGCUUGCCCAAGGCCAUGUGGCUGUUAGUGUUGGAGUCAGAAUUUGAAGCCAGGGAGGCUGAUCUUGGAACACCUGCUGUCAACAGAAACUUCUGACAAAAUACAGAGGACUGCCAUGCCUUCCGGGGUGUUCUCCCAGAGAUGCCCCUUCUGCUAUCCUGCCUGUGCUGCUGCCCUGAUCAUUACUGCAAAUGGCUGGAUUCAUCUUUGUCAAGUUUGCACUUUCACCAAAGUUUGAAUUAACGUCGACAUUAAUUUGCUGAUGAAGCGCCUGCAGUAGGUCAUAUAGCGUGAGCACCUGUGAUUUCCAAGGAAAUUAUUGUAAUGUGCUAAAUGGGAGAUUUAAAGAUAAUGCAUCAUUGACAGCCGUGG
rnacentral:lncRNA from 1 species